CGGACCGGCGGACGGGUGCGUAACGCGUAUGCAACCUGCCUGACACAGGGGGAUAAUCCGAAGAAAUUUGGUCUAAUACCCCAUAAUACCGAUAUAGGCAUCUAUGUUGGUUGAAAGCUUUGGUGGUGUCAGAUGGGCAUGCGUUGUAUUAGCUAGUUGGUGAGGUAACGGCUCACCAAGGCGACGAUACAUAGGGGGACUGAGAGGUCAACCCCCCACACUGGUACUGAGACACGGACCAGACUCCUACGGGAGGCAGCAUG
rnacentral:rRNA from 1 species